rnacentral:rRNA from 1 species
UACGGGGGGGGCAAGCGUUGUUCGGAAUUACUGGGCGUAAAGGGCUCGUAGGUGGCCAACUAAGUCAGACGUGAAAUCCCUCGGCUUAACCGGGGAACUGCGUCUGAUACUGGAUGGCUUGAGUUUGGGAGAGGGACGCGGAAUUCCAGGUGUAGCGGUGAAAUGCGUAGAUAUCAGGAGGAACACCAGUGGCGAAGGCGGUGCUCUGGGCCGGUACUGACGCUGAGGAGCGAAAGCGUGGGGAGCAAACAGG